CAGAAUCAUAACAACUGUAGAAAAAGAAAGAUGGACAGGUGAACCUGGAGUUCAGCUCAGAGUUACAGAGCUCCGUGUAGAAGCUCCUGAAGAAGUGACCGAGGGAGAAACAGCAGAUCUGACAUGUAAGACCACCUGCAGUCUGACUGACCCAACAUUCAUCUGGUACAAAAAUGGACGUCCUUUAACCACAAAGACCAUCAAGAACAACCAGCUCCACCUGCAGACGGUCAGCAGUGAGGAUGCAGGCAGUUAUAGCUGUGCUGUAGGAGGAUCUCAACACCUCCGUUCUACUGCUCACAGCCUCAGAGUCAGAUAUCCUCCAAAGAACGUCUCAGUGUCCUUCAGUCCCUCUGGUGAAAUAGUGGAGGGCAGUUCAGUGACUCUGACCUGCAGCAGUGAU